rnacentral:rRNA from 1 species
CCUACGGGUGGCUGCAGUGGGGAAUAUUGGACAAUGGGGGGAACCCUGAUCCAGCCAUGCCGCGUGUGUGAAGAAGGCCCUCGGGUUGUAAAGCACUUUCAGUGAGGAAGAACGCCUGGUGGUUAAUACCCAUCAGGAAAGACAUCACUCACAGAAGAAGCACCGGCUAACUCCGUGCCAGCAGCCGCGGUAAUACGGAGGGUGCGAGCGUUAAUCGGAAUUACUGGGCGUAAAGCGCGCGUAGGUGGCUUGAUAAGCCGGUUGUGAAAGCCCCGGGCUCAACCUGGGAACGGCAUCCGGAACUGUCAAGCUAGAGUGCAGGAGAGGAAGGUAGAAUUCCCGGUGUAGCGGUGAAAUGCGUAGAGAUCGGGAGGAAUACCAGUGGCGAAGGCGGCCUUCUGGACUAACACUGACACUGAGGUGCGAAAGCGUGGGUAGCAAACAGGAUUAGAUACCCUGGUAGUC